AGAGUUUGAUCCUGGCUCAGGACGAACGCUGGCGGCGUGCCUAACACAUGCAAGUCAAGGAGAAUUCCCGACUUGUCGGGAUAGUAAACUGGCGAACGGGUGAGUAACACGUAGGUAAUCUACCCUCGGGAUGGGGAUAACCUACCGAAAGGUGGGCUAAUACCGAAUAAUGUUCCGCUUUAAUCGAGCGGAAUGAAAGGUGGGGACCUUCGGGCCUACUGCCUGAGGAUGAGCCUGCGUCCCAUUAGCUAGUUGGUAAGGUAAUGGCUUACCAAGGCGACGAUGGGUAGCUGGUCUGAGAGGAUGAUCAGCCACAUUGGGACUGAGAUACGGCCCAAACUCCUACGGGAGGCAGCAGUGAGGAAUUUUGCGCAAUGGCCGCAAGGCUGACGCAGCAACGCCGCGUGACCGAUUAAGCUCUGAGGAGUGUAAAGGUCUGUCGCAGAGGAAGAAACUGCCUGAUGAGAAUAUUGUCAGGUACUGACGGUACUCUGUGAGAAAGCUCCGGCUAACUCCGUGCCAGCAGCCGCGGUAAUACGGGGGGAGCAAGCGUUGUCCGGAAUCACUGGGCGUAAAGAGCGUGUAGGUGUCCUAAUAAGUC
rnacentral:rRNA from 1 species